AGAUCUUAGAAAGAUUUAACACAGACUUUCUGUAGCAUAUAUUAAUCUGCACUUUUUGCCCCCAUGGAAAGGGGAAACGAAAAAGCACCAUAGCCGAAAACACUUUUGUAAAUUCAUUGUUGCUGGGCUUAAGCUAUUGUUCUAUUGCUGAUUUCUAACGUGGCCCCAAAAAAUAAAAAUAAAAAAAAUGGCGACAUUCUUUCAGAGACUCUCUAAAGCUACUGCGGUAGCAUUCGCCAAUGCAUUUGGGAGCCAACCCAAGUCCGGUUAUAGAAUUCCUUUCAGAGCACUUGCAGCAGUUUGUGGUGGAAUCUCUUAUCUAUACUAUGUUUCCUCACCUGAUAUGAUUUUCAUUGGAUCACACCGCCAAGUUGGGUUUGGAUAUUGUUUCAUGCCUCCUUACAAGGGCUCCACUGUGACAAGUUGUUGAAGGGAAGCCUAAAUAUAUUGUCUGUCCGUAUGUCUCUUUCUUCAAAUGCACAUGCGGUUUCUUUAAGUAGUUUUUCUCAUUUUUGUACUGGAUUGUUUGAAAUUGUAAAUCAUCAGAAGUUUAGAAAUUUUUUUUUUUUUUUUUUUUUUUUUUGCUCAUAUAUGUGGAGGUUUGUAUUUAUCCUUCUAACAACAUGUUCGUUUUUCAUUAGUUUUAUCUUCAUGCAUGUUCUAUGUUCUUUCAUUAUAAAGUUAUUGGUUAUUGAUUCCACUACAAUGUAUAACUUGAAUCUUUAAGUUGAGAUUAUGAUUUUACUAAACAAGUUGUUGAUUGUUCUCCCCCUUAAUGUCACCUUGUGGAACAAUUUUUUGUUUACAUAUACAGGUACACUACAAUAUCAGAUCCAGAUGCAAAGGGAUAUUUUGACUUAUUAAUUAAGUUGUACCCAGAAGGAAAAAUGAGUCAGCAUUUUGCAAGCUUAAAACCAGGCGAUGUGGUUGAAGUGAAGGGUGUAGAUUUCCCAUCCUGAAUUAUUGGCUGAGGAUAUAUGCGCUGAAUCAUCUUUAUUCAUCAAUCCUGGUCCUAUGUCAAUUGAUUAAGGGGGGAUAAAUCAGAGGUCUAAUGCUGGUUGGGUUUGGUAACUUUAGUUUUAAGGAUCGAAUACACAGGCUUAAAAGAAUGAAUAGGGGUUGUAUAUGUGUUUUUCAAAGCAGUUUUCAUGCAUAUAACUAUAUGAUGCAUCUGGGAGAAUACUAAAGUGGGAGAUUUAUGAUUAAUCUAUUUAACUUGUUUUAAAUAGAUUCAGAACAGUAAUCCUUUGGAUGAGUGUCUGGUAUUCUCGAAGGAAUCUUGUGUUUCCUUAAGUCCUGCCAGCCAUGAAAAAGCAUAAUAGGAAUAGUCUUGUGAUGAUUCUCAAUGGGCUCUUCCUUGCUGCUAUCUGCUUAUUAAUACUAUGUAAUCUUUGACCCUGUUAGAAACUGAGUUAUUGAUUGUCUUGAUUGCAGAUGAGGGUCAUUUUUGGUGUGCUGAAAGUUAACAACGUCCACAGUACUGCAUCUCAGAUUGUCAUAGAGACAAUUUAAUUGGGUUUAUUUUAAUUUUGCAAAACCAAUUGACAAAUCUGACAGAAAGCUUUGGACAUUCUCCCAUGUAAAGUGGAAAAUUUUCAGAUUACUGACUUGCUUGUGAAUAUCAUAAGCAUGUGUUGAAGCCAAAACACUGAAUGCUAACUGAUGAUGAGAAGCAGAAACUUGUAAAGAAAAACAGCAUAGCAGAAAUGCAGGUUAUUGAUUUAAUUAAAGACUACAAAUGUGCAAUUGGAUAGGCUUUUUUUUUCUUUUUCUUUUUUUUUUUUAAUGAAAUAAUUUAUUUUGAUUUCUCUCAAAAAUUAGUUUUCUCAUUUAUAUAUAAGCAUAAUGUAUGGUAUAGCAAAAUGUCAAAACUCAGAUGUAUAUACUUGGACUCCAUGGAUUAAGUGAUGUCUGUCUAAACAAAUUAGAGAUAGUCAAUAGAAACGCAUGCCAUAAGGUUAGGUAGACAUGCAUUUAUUUUGCAACAGCUUUCAAGUGGAGUACUUGUAGGGGGCUCAAUGUUUUUCAUGGAAGUCAUGCUGCAGCUUCUUAGAAAAAGAAGUUGCUAGAUGACAUUAGAGGUUGUAAUUAUGAGUGGGGUCUUUUGCCAUCAUUUGAGCACAAUUGUAAAUCUAUAAUGGCAUUCCGCUGAGCAUGAUCAACUGAUGCAUUGGGUUUGUUAAAUAUGGUAGCUGGACGUAUGUUAAAUUUAUAGUUCGUUUUAUUUUUUUCAUUAUAGUGGGACAUCGAACUAUAUUUUCUUGUAGUAAAAUAUUGGGCUGAAUGAUACUACAUUUGGAUUUAUUAUUAAAGUGUAGUAAUAUUUUCUGAAGGUUUUAAUUAGAUCUGGAUAAAACAAUAUAUCUGCGUACAGUUGUGUUGCAAUGGUGCACAUGCAAAGUCUAGUUGUUUAUUGUGUAACUAAAUUUAAUUUGGCAAAUUUUUGUGGUUAAAUUAAUUGCUAAAAAGACAAUUAUACUUGUACUUCUUUUUCUUAUAUAAAUUUCAUAUUAAUAUUGUUUGGUGUUUUUUUUGUCUAUGAUGUUUGACAAGCGUUCAUAAGAAUUUCUAAUAUUUAGAAUCAAUAGCAUAACUAUAGAUGCACAUGAAAAUAGAGAUACACAAGAUCAUGUACCCCGCCCUCCGGUGGCUUAAAACUUGCAACACUUACACCAAGCAAAUAAUGAGGAUUAUACAACAUGUAUCCAUGUCUGCUUCAUCUUCACUUUGGCUUGAAAAGGUGGUUGAAUUAGUCUAUAUCUUGUCAUUGGUCUUCAACUAUGUUUAAGUUAGGUUUCUAUAGUUGAGAGAAAAUUGAAAGUAGUAUAAGUGGCAGCUAAAAUUUCUGCUGAUCCCAUAUGCCAUACAAAAGGAAAAGUGCUUUAUAGUUGACUAGUCGGUUGCGUAGGCAAAAAGUACAUGUAUUGUAUCAGACAUUUUUUCUGAAAAUAUAAUUCUUAAAUGUACAUUAAGUAGUAGUUUCUA